AAGUCGUAACAAGGUCUCCGUUGGUGAACCAGCGGAGGGAUCAUUACCGAGUCUCCAACUCACAACCCAUAGUGAACAUACCGACGUUGCUUCGGCGGCCGGGCCCCGUCCCACCGCCGCCGGAGGUACCAAACCCUCUGUUUCCAAUUGUGGUUAUAUCUGAGCGAAUCUUGAAAUAAAUCAAAACCUUCAACAACGGAUCUCUUGGCUCUG
rnacentral:misc_RNA from 1 species